rnacentral:rRNA from 1 species
GGCAGCACGGAGAGCUUGCUCUCUGGUGGCGAGUGGCGAACGGGUGAGUAAUAUAUCGGAACGUGUCCAAUAAUGGGGGAUAACGAGUCGAAAGAUUCGCUAAUACCGCAUACGCCCUACGGGGGAAAGCAGGGGAUCGUAAGACCUUGCGUUAAUGGAGCGGCCGAUAUCUGAUUAGCUUGUUGGUGAGGUAAAGGCUCACCAAGGCGACGAUCAGUAGCUGGUUUGAGAGAACGACCAGCCACACUGGAACUGAGACACGGUCCAGACUCCUACGGGAGGCAGCAGUGGGGAAUUUUGGACAAUGGGGGCAACCCUGAUCCAGCCAUUCCGCGUGAGUGAAGAAGGCCUUCGGGUUGUAAAGCUCUUUCGCAAGGGAAGAAAACUUAUGAUCGAAUAAAUCAUGAGGUUGACGGUACCUUGAUAAGAGGCGCCGGCUAACUACGUGCCAGCAGCCGCGGUAAUACGUAGGGUGCGAGCGUUAAUCGGAAUUACUGGGCGUAAAGCGUGCGCAGGCGGUUUUGUAAGUCGGAUGUGAAAUCCCCGGGCUCAACCUGGGAACUGCGUUCGAAACUGCAAGGCUAGAGUGUGUCAGAGGGGGGUAGAAUUCCACGUGUAGCAGUGAAAUG